rnacentral:rRNA from 1 species
GGCUGAAAUUCGCCUUCAUGAAGUCGGAAUUGCUAGUAAUGGCAGGUCAGCAUACUGCCGUGAAUACGUUCCCGGGCCUUGUACACACCGCCCGUCACACCAUGAGAGUUGGAGAUACCCGAAGCCUGUGAGCUAACUUUAUAAGAGGCAGCAGUCGAAGGUAGAACUAAUGAUUGGGGUGAAGUCGUAACAAGGUACC